CGGAUAUGAAUGCGUGAUGCAUCACGGUUUUCACAACAUUAUAUAUGUUACAAAAUGGUCAUUUUGAAAAUUGUCUAAAGUGAAUUAAAUAAAAAGUUUUUUUUGCGUGUGUGUGUGUGUGUGUGUGUUUAAAGGACGAAAAUUAUCCGCUCCGA